rnacentral:rRNA from 1 species
ACCUGAAAAAAGCAAAGCAGGGAAAGCGGGGGAGGGGUUGACAGGGAUGAUCGGGAAGUGUAGGAUCAAACGGUUGACUCUUUCGGGGAGAAAAAAAGCCCUGAAGAGAAAGACGCCCUGUGGAAACGCAGGGAGAGCGUCUCGGAUCAUUGACAACUAAAUAGGAGCAGCAACGUCCAAUUAAAGGGCCCUGAUCACGAAACACAGGAAUAAAAUGAAUCUGGAGAGUUUGAUCCUGGCUCAGAACGAACGCUGGCGGCGUGCCU